rnacentral:rRNA from 1 species
UACAGAGGGUGCGAGCGUUAAUCGGAAUUACUGGGCGUAAAGCGCACGUAGGUUGUUUAGCAAGUUGGAUGUGAAAUCCCCGGGCUUAACCUGGGAACUGCAUUCAAAACUACUAGACUAGAGUAAAGUAGAGGGAAGUGGAAUUUCCGGUGUAGCGGUGAAAUGCGUAGAUAUCGGAAGGAACACCAGUGGCGAAGGCGGCUUCCUGGACUUAUACUGACACUGAGGUGCGAAAGCGUGGGGAGCAAACAGG